rnacentral:rRNA from 1 species
AUUGAACGCUGGCCGCAGGCCUAACACAUGCAAGUCGAGCGGAUGAAGGGAGCUUGCUCCUGGAUUCAGCGGCGGACGGGUGAGUAAUGCCUAGGAAUCUGCCUGGUAGUGGGGGAUAACGUCCGGAAACGGGCGCUAAUACCGCAUACGUCCUGAGGGAGAAAGUGGGGGAUCUUCGGACCUCACGCUAUCAGAUGAGCCUAGGUCGGAUUAGCUAGUUGGUGGGGUAAAGGCCUACCAAGGCGACGAUCCGUAACUGGUCUGAGAGGAUGAUCAGUCACACUGGAACUGAGACACGGUCCAGACUCCUACGGGGGGCAGCAGUGGGGAAUAUUGGACAAUGGGCGAAAGCCUGAUCCAGCCAUGCCGCGUGUGUGAAGAAGGUCUUCGGAUUGUAAAGCACUUUAAGUUGGGAGGAAGGGCAGUAAGUUAAUACCUUGCUGUUUUGACGUUACCAACAGAAUAAGCACCGGCUAACUUCGUG